AUGAAAGGCGGUGUGUAUUUACUGGCUCAGCGUCUGGCCUGCGGUCCGUGCUCUUAUUUACCUCUUGACCCAGACAGCACCUGUCUGCCGUCCCGGGGAAGGACGCUACCGUGGACUCGGCGACCUGCGUGCCCGUGUGUUUUAAUGAAGAGCGAGCCAGCGUUUGGUUCGUUGGCCUCUCGGACGCUUCCCUGGACACGGAUCAAGGUCACGUCCCGCGCCAGCUUUGGAUGAAGAGUGGCCCAAACAGAAGGACACAGCUUCAGUCAGACUCACUUUACAAGGCUGUCAAAGACGCAAGCACCAGCUGCGAGAGUAGACCUGAAACGAGCACGUGGAGCUGGCUCCACACGCAUCUUCACCGGGUGAGGCGAGUUUACAUGUGGUCAUUGUUAUUGUGGUCAUACAUUCAAAUCCAAAACAAAAAAUGUUGUUUAAAAUGUAAGUUUGUAUGAAAAUACUUUGAACUAAAAAAAAAAAUGUGGAGUUACAUUUGAGAAAUGUCAUGUUAGUUUUUACAAACUUAGAAAAGGAAAGCUGAGAUUUGCAUUUGAUGCUUUUGUUAAAAGACCUGCAGAGAAAAUGAUUUAAUUCUCGUUUAUCGUGGGAAAUUUUAACCAACCUAAAUAACUGCCGCUCAUAUUUAUCCAUAAGUGUGCGCAUUAUAUUUUUGUUAGGAAAUCAUCUAAACUUUAAAAGAUUUUAUAGAAAAUGGUUGUAUUGUCUUUUCAUGCUUCUCCAUUUAGGGUAAGAUUGAAAAUCAUAAGAAAUGAUAUUGCGUGUGUUUAUGAUUGAUGUUUUGUUGAAGAAUUAAAUGAUUGUGAAUAUCACAGGCAAAGAAGAUUUGAGUGUCUUUACACUGGUGUGUUUGAAUUAUAUUUUCACACACCUUUAUUCACCGCAUGAGGAAUACGAUAUUUUUGAAUAUUUUUUAAAAAUUUUUUUUAAAUGGGAUAUUAUCAGAAAAUAUUGUGGCAUUUGGUUCACUGAAUAUCAAUGAAGACAGUCUGUGACAAGAGGCUGAGGGUUUUUUUUAAUUAAAUUUCUAAUUUUAAUAAUAAUAUAAUAAUAAUAAUAUAAUUUAAAUAAUAUUUGCCUAUUUAAUGUAAAUUUAUUGGCACAGUUUGUAGUUGAACACUAUUUAAAUGCUUAAAGUGAGUUUUAAAAUGUCUAAUUGCCUUAAUGUUUUUAUAAUCACAGAGAAAACAGUUAAUAAACAUUAUUUCUUAAAGGACUAUUGAGUGUAG
ensembl:lncRNA